rnacentral:ncRNA from 2 species
GCCUGGUUCAAGUAAUCCAGGAUAGGCU